GGGGGGGGGGGGGGGGGGGGGGGGGGGGGGGGGGGCGGGGGGGGGGGGGGGGGGCUUGCUCCUGUGGGGUUAGCGGCGGAGGGGGGGGUGACACGUGGAUGACCUACCUAUAAGAGUGGGGUAACUUCGGGAAACCGGAGCUAAUACCGGAUAAUAUAUUGAACCGCAUGGUUCAAUAGUGAAGGACGGUUUUGCUGUCCCGUAUAGAUGGUUCCGCGCCGCAUUAGCUAGGUGGUAAGGUCACGGCUUACCAAGGCAACGAUGCGUAGCCGACCUGAGAGGGUGAUCGGCCACACUGGAACUGAGACACGGUCCAGACUCCUACGGGAGGCAGCAGUAGGGAAUCUUCCGCAAUGGGCGAAAGCCUGACGGAGCAACGCCGCGGGAGUGAUGAAGGUCUUCGGAUCGUAAAACUCUGUUAUUAGGGAAGAACAAAUGUGUAAGUAACUAUGCACGUCUUGACGGUACCUAAUCAGAAAGCCACGGCUAACUACGUG
rnacentral:rRNA from 1 species